rnacentral:rRNA from 1 species
AUCAUUUAGAGGAAGGAGAAGUCGUAACAAGGUUUCCGUAGGUGAACCUGCGGAAGGAUCAUUGUCGAAACCUGCAAAGCAGACCGCGAACACGUAACUAACACCGCGGGCGCGGCGCGGGGGCGACCCCCUGCCGUGUCCCGUCUCCCGCCGGCGUGCUCCCCCGGGUCACGCCGCGCGGGCUAACGAACCCCGGCGCGGAACGCGCCAAGGAAAACCGAACGAAGCGUCCGCCCUCGGCACCCCGUUCGCGGAGCGUGCCGCGGGACCGGCCGUCUAUCAAAUGUCAAAACGACUCUCGGCAACGGAUAUCUCGGCUCUCGCAUCGAUGAAGAACGUAGCGAAAUGCGAUACUUGGUGUGAAUUGCAGAAUCCCGUGAACCAUCGAGUCUUUGAACGCAAGUUGCGCCCGAAGCCAUUAGGCCGAGGGCACGCCUGCCUGGGCGUCACGCAUCGCGUCGCCCCCCUCCCCCGCGCGCAACGCCGGGCGGUCGGGGGCGGACACUGGCCCCCCGUGCGCCUCGGCGCGCGGCCGGCCCAAAUGAGAUCCCCGGCCGACUGGCGUCACGACAAGUGGUGGUUGAACAUCUCAAUCUCUCUCGUGGUCGUGCCGCCGUGUCGCGCCGCACGGGAAUCGUAAACGACCCAGCGGCGCACGGCGCGAACAGCGUCCC